AGUGAACGCUGGCGGUAGGCCUAACACAUGCAAGUCGAACGGCAGCACAGUAAGAGCUUGCUCUUACGGGUGGCGAGUGGCGGACGGGUGAGGAAUACAUCGGAAUCUACUUUUUCGUGGGGGAUAACGUAGGGAAACUUACGCUAAUACCGCAUACGACCUACGGGUGAAAGCAGGGGAUCUUCGGACCUUGCGCGAUUGAAUGAGCCGAUGUCGGAUUAGCUAGUUGGCGGGGUAAAGGCCCACCAAGGCGACGAUCCGUAGCUGGUCUGAGAGGAUGAUCAGCCACACUGGAACUGAGACACGGUCCAGACUCCUACGGGAGGCAGCAGUGGGGAAUAUUGGACAAUGGGCGCAAGCCGGAUCCAGCCAUACCGCGUGGGUGAAGAAGGCCUUCGGGUUGUAAAGCCCUUUUGUUGGGAAAGAAAAGCGGCAGGUUAAUACCCCGCUGUUCUGACGGUACCCAAAGAAUAAGCACCGGCUAACUUCGUG
rnacentral:rRNA from 1 species